GACGAACGCUGGCGGCGUGCUUAACACAUGCAAGUCGAACGGAAAGGCCCUGCUUUUGUGGGGUGCUCGAGUGGCGAACGGGUGAGUAACACGUGAGUAACCUGCCCUUGACUUUGGGAUAACUUCAGGAAACUGGGGCUAAUACCGGAUAGGAGCUCCUGCUGCAUGGUGGGGGUUGGAAAGUUUCGGCGGUUGGGGAUGGACUCGCGGCUUAUCAGCUUGUUGGUGGGGUAGUGGCUUACCAAGGCUUUGACGGGUAGCCGGCCUGAGAGGGUGACCGGCCACAUUGGGACUGCGAUACGGCCCAGACUCCUACGGGAGGCAGCAGUGGGGAAUAUUGCACAAUGGGCGGAAGCCUGAUGCAGCAACGCCGCGUGCGGGAUGACGGCCUUCGGGUUGUAAACCGCUUUCGCCUGUGACGAAGCGUGAGUGACGGUAAUGGGUAAAGAAGCAUCGGCUAUCUACGUG
rnacentral:rRNA from 1 species